GAGGCCGGCCCUGGCGGCGGCUCUGCGGGGCCGUGGGGCUUCAGCGAAGAUUCCUCAGUGGUAAAAUGGAGACAAUGAUAACUGCAUUAAGGGACUCAUCCUGUCCACGAAUAAGGAGGUCAUAAUCCCACUGUAUUAUGCCUUGGUUUUAUCACAGUUGGAAUAUUGACUUCUGUUUGCCACACAGGCAGCUAAAGCAGGCACUGCAGAGCACUU